UCCCUGGUGGUCCAGUGGUUAAGACUCCAUGCUUCCACUGUAGGGAGUGCAGGUUCAAUCCCUGGUCAGGGAA
rnacentral:tRNA from 1 species